rnacentral:rRNA from 1 species
GUCCACGCUGUAAACGAUGGAUGCUAGUUGUUGGGGGGUUCCCCCUCAGUGACGUAGCUAACGCGUUAAGCAUCCCGCCUGGGGAGUACGGUCGCAAGAUUAAAACUCAAAGAAAUUGACGGGGACCCCGCACAAGCGGUGGAGCAUGUGGUUUAAUUCGAGGCAACGCGAAGAACCUUACCAGGCCUUGACAUGUCCAGUUUGAUCGUCAGAGAUGACUUUCUUCACUUCGGGUGGCUGGAACACAGGUGCUGCAUGGCUGUCGU